rnacentral:snoRNA from 1 species
UUCUGCAUCCAAAAGUGAUCACAGGCUGCCUGUGCUCUGGUCAUUGAUAGUGCAGAGAGAGGAAUCACUGAAGGAAGCCUCGUGUUUGUAGCGUCCACCUCGUCCUUCCCUGGAGCUUUCACACA